CCCAGACAGCCUUGAUGAUGUUGGGAUCAGUGAGAUCAGGCUCUGUGGAAGCCAUACCAUCAGAAACCAUAGGAAAAAUCUCUGGUGCCCAAGACUUUUGCACAGUACUGUACAAAGGGAAGAUGAGAAAUUAUUUUUAAAUCAGUGAGGUUAUGAUCUGGAUCUUUACCAUUGGGGAAGAUGGAAGCAGAGUCAACAGAGAUUUAAAACAGAAAUGGAUAGACACAUGCAAGAACAGAUGCUGUUUGACCAACUGCGUAUGUCCAGAAUUCUCUUUCUGUGCUUGUGGGCUAAUUUUGGAUUAAACUAUUCAUACAACUCAG